rnacentral:rRNA from 1 species
AACAAACGCUGGCGGCGUGCCUAACACAUGCAAGUCGUACGAGAAAGGGUCCUUCGGGACCUGAGUAAAGUGGCGCACGGGUGAGUAACGCGUGGAUAAUCUACCCCUCAGUUGGGAAUAACUCAUCGAAAGGUGGGCUAAUACCGAAUAACACUGCCAGACCCAUGUUGAGCAGUCAAAGGGCGCCUAUGCUUGCAAGCGCUCGCUGAAGGAUGAGUCCGCGUACCAUUAGCUAGUUGGUAGGGUAAUGGCCUACCAAGGCGACGAUGGUUAGCUGGUCUGAGAGGAUGAUCAGCCACACUGGAACUGAGACACGGUCCAGACUCCUACGGGAGGCUA